CUCCCUUUGUUCCUCGCGACAACCGAGUCGGGUCGAGCGGGAGACGCCCGGGACUUGGGUGGACGCGGGUAGCGAGUGACACUCGGCCACCGGUCGCGGCGAAGUUCGCUUCAAACCGCGCACGACUCCGUACAGCCUCGUGUAUCUCUGUGUCUGUCUGUGUGUCUGUCUGUGUGUGUCUCUGCGUGUGUCUCCCCGUGUCUGUGUGUCUCUGCGUGUGUCUCCGCGUGUCUGUGUGUCUCUGCGUGUGUCUGUGUGUGUCUCUGCGUGUCUGUGUGUCUCUGCGUGUGUCUGUGUGUGUCUCUGUGUGUAUCUCUGUGUCUGUCUGUGUAUGCAUGUGUGUGUUUCUGCGUGUGUCUGUGUGUCUCUGCGUGUGCCUCCGCGUGUCGUUGUGUCUCUGCAUGUGUCUGUGUGUGUCUCUGCGUGUUUCUCCGCGUGUCGUUGUGUCUCUGCGUGUGUCUGUGUGUCUCUGCGCGUUGCUGGUAUUCAGGAGGUCCGGUGGACUGGCUCUGGCUCCUGCCACCAUGAGGGAUGGACAGUCCUCUACUCGGGGAAGGAGACUGCCAAACAACAGGGAGUGGUUCUUAUUCUGAACAAAAGAAUGAAGGGGGCGUGGGAGCUUGGCGGUGAGGAGUGGGAAGCUGAAAGCCCCAGGCUACUUUGGGCUCGCCUUUCCAUCAACCAGAGGCGAGGAGUGGUGGUCGUGGUUACUUACGCCCCCACCGACGAUGAACAUCAGUGGAGGGAUGCAGGCAAGGUCGAUGAGUCAGAUGCCUUCUAUGACUUCCUGUCACAGGUGCUAGAUAAAGUGGCCAUUCGGGAUAGUCAUCCUGUUGGGCGACUCUAAUGCCCAAGUUGGUAAUGAUGCUGGCACCUGGUCUGGAGUGAUUGGAAGGCAUGAGCCAGAUCAGCUCAAUAACAACGGUAGGAGGCUGCCAGACGUUUGUGCAGCCCAUGGGCUUGUAAUUACCAACACGCUGUUCUUGCAUCGGCGCAUCCACACAACAUCAUGGAUGCAUGCCGGGUCCAAGCAAGAACAUCUGCUGGACUCCAUAGUGAUAGAACAGCGGAUGCAGGCCCAUGUCCUUGACAACAAGAUCUACCGUGGAGCUGAUCUGCCCACUGACCAUCGGCUUGUCAUCUGUAAGAUGUGCCUGCCAUUCUUCCAUUCCCGUUGUGGGUGUACAUCCAGGACCCCAUUGAAACCCAAAGUGGCCUGGUCUCAGCUAGCUGAUGAAAGUUGAAAGCGAGAAUUUCAUCAUCGCUUGCAGCUAGGGUUGGCAUCGUCCCCCACUCCUCUUGAUGUCGAGGGGAAAUGGGCGAGGUUUAGGACUGUGGCACAUGCAGAUGCAAUGGCUGCUUUGGGUACGCGGUCCAGACCUCCCCAGCGACCCUGGCUGACAGAGGAGGUGUUCAGGUUAGCUGAGAAAAAGCGACAAGCCGGCCCACUCUCACUGUCUACAGCAUCCCACGUCAGAGAAUGAGGAGGCUUACCGCAGCCUCCGCUCGGAGGUACGGAGAGCCGUGCGGCGUUGCAAGGAUGGGUGGUGGUCGCGGGUUGCUGAGAUGGGGUCUGCCUCGGUAGCCUCCGAUCACAAAUCACUCUUGAAUUCCAUCACAAAGUGACUUGCAGCGCCACACCUACAUCACGGAGCAAGUGGAAAACAUCGUGGAACAAAAUAGGGAUGACCCUGCUGAGGCUGCGGUGCCACAAAUAUAGGAAGAGGAAGUCACCCCCUGUGAGUGGUUGGCUGAGGUGCCAUCUGUUGAGGAAGUACUGAAGGCGAUCUAGAGUCUGAGAUCAGUAAAGGCACCGGGCAGAGAUGAUCUCCCAAGCGAAAUGCUGAGGGAGGGUGGCGUUUGUGCACAGACUGCACUACAUGACAUCAUAACAACAGUCUGGAUCACUGGACGGGUUCCACAGGAUUGGAAGGAUGCCCUGGUGGUCCCCCUCUUUAAGAAGACCGCACAGACUGUAACAACUACAGGGGCAUCUCACUCCUCAGUAUGCCGGGAAAGGUCCUGGCAAGGAUUAUUCAACAUCGCCUUGCCAGGUAUGCUCAAAAGAGGCUUGUGGAGCUCCAAUGUGGUUUCAGGAAAGGGCGGUCCUGCACAGAUGCCAUAUUUUCUGUCCGUCUGUUACAGCAGAUGUGUAGGGAAUUCCAACUCGACUUACAUCUCUGCUUUAUUGACCUGGUCAAUACCUUUUGGAGUUCCUGACCCUCUGCUCACGGUCAUUAAGGACCUUCAUGAUAGUGAGCGGGCCCGGGUAAAACUACGUGGCCGGGAAUCGGAGCCAUUCCUUGUUCACCUUGGGGUGCGACAGGGAUGUCCUCUGGCUCCCACAUUAUAUAACAUCUAUUUCGAUCACGUAGUUCGUGCAGCCUUCAAUAGCUGUAACGAAUGAAUUUAUAUCUGGUACAGAUACAAUGGUAGGCUGAUCGAUACCCGGGUGCGGUCAAGGGAUGGCUCCCUAUUGCUCAACCAUGUUAUGUAUGCCGAUGAUCUGGUAAUUGCUGCUCAUUCAGAAGAGGAGUUGGAGGCGCUGCUGCUGAACCUGGAGCGUGCCACUAAGAGGUGGGGCCUUACCAUCAGCCCCACUAAAACUAAGCACCUGCCUGGGUAUUUUGUACCAUGGGACACUCCACCCCCACAACUCCCAAUUGGUGCUGGGGCAGUUGUGGAGAGAGUGGAGAGUAUCCCAUACCUGGGCAGUGUGCUUAUGACGGGCUCCAGUUUAACAGCAGAGGUCUUACUCCAAAUCAGUCGAGCGGCAAUAUAUUUUCAUCGGUUGCGUAACGCUGUGUGGAAACUACCUGGUCUAUCGCUCCGCACGAAGCUUCACGUCUUCUCGGCCACGGUCAUUCCCUCCCUUCUCUACGCUUGCGAAACGUGGACCCCCCUUAUGGAACAUCUUCAUCGGUUAGAAACAUUUAGGCUGGCCUGCCUACGAUCCAUUCUGGUUUAAACCAGGCUGGAUUGUGUGAGGAGCUCACAAAUUCUUGAAAGAUCUGGGCAAAGUCCCAUCGGUGAGCUCCUCCGGCAGGCAAGGCUGCGUUGGCUGGGUCAUGUAGCCCGCAUGCCCAGCCACCGCAUGCCUAAACAGCUUUUGUUCGGUCGGAUCGAGGAGGCUAAAUGGGCGCGGUACGGGCUAGAGAAGAGAUCGAGUGAUGUGGUACAGGAGGACGUGGAGCUGAGUGGACUUGUCGAUGACUGGUACCAGCGGUGUCAAGAUCGGCCUCUGUGGAGGAGGCUCGUGAAAGACGCUACUGGGCAGUUGGAGGCAGUCGCCCUCCAACAACAACGGAGGGCGGAGGAGCGACGCUCACAACAACGAGAGGAGCGCCGGGUGGCUAAAGCACAGCAAGUUGGCACAAUAGGGGGCACAGGUGGUGCAUCAGCCAGUCAUCUCGUUCAUCUCAGUCAGUCGACCCGUGGCACCUGGGUCUGCCUCGUGACCUCCUGCCAGCGGGCGUUCGACACUUCACGUGGCCUUAAGGUGCACAUGGCCUGGCACAAGCGUCGUGGUGACGUCACCGCCACUUAGUGGCGAAUGGCGGUUGUUGUUGUGAUGAUGCUGUGUGUGUGCGAUUGUUCCUCGUGUUGUUGUUUCUUGUUCCAACCCGAGGUCUCGGGUUAUGAUGGGAGACAGCAACCUGACCCUGACCCCUCCCCAACCCCCCCAACCCAGCAGCAGCAGCAGUGGGGGGGGGGGGGAUGCAGCAGCAUUGGACCUCUUACACAACUCUCUCGUGUUUUGUAACGAGCGUCAUUGCGAGAAGAGACGGAGACAGAGAGAGGAGCGCAGCGAGCGACUUCACGACUGGCGUAGAGCUGCGUGUGGACCCGUCUCAACGUCGUCUCGGUCAUCAGCAGCAUCAUCAGCUGCAGCAUCAUCAGCGGGAGUAGAACGACUUAAAUUGAUUCUCACACCGGAGAUUUCAACAAGGCCGCUGUGUGAUGGGUGCCCCACGCGCCGUUCGUGCCGCGCUGCCGGUUCUGUCUCUCGUCUCCUUCGUCAUCAUGAUCAUCUUCAACAUAGCAGCUGCCACCGGCUUCACUAAAGGUGACCCCGCACUGAUGACC